UGGGGAAUAUUGCACAAUGGGGGAAACCCUGAUGCAGCGACGCCGCGUGAGCGAUGAAGGAAUUCGUUUCGUAAAGCUCUGUCCUAGGGGAAGAUAAUGACAGUACCCUUGGAGGAAGCCCCGGCUAAAUACGUGCCAGCAGCCGCGGUAAUACGUAUGGGGCGAGCGUUGUCCGGAAUUAUUGGGCGUAAAGGGUACGUAGGCGGUUUCAUAAGUCAGAUGUAAAAGCGUGGGGCUCAACCCCAUAAAGCAUUUGAAACUGUGGAACUUGAGUAGUGGAGAGGAAAGUGGAAUUCCUAGUGUAGCGGUGAAAUGCGUAGAUAUUAGGAGGAAUACCAGUGGCGAAGGCGACUUUCUGGACACAAACUGACGCUGAGGUACGAAAGCAUGGGGAGCAAAC
rnacentral:rRNA from 1 species